CAAGUAGUAAGUUCUGUUUGACAUUUGCACUGGUAAUGGUAUGGCUCCUGAGAUCAUGACUACUUGUAUAAGAAUCAGAGCUGCAAAACACCAGAUGAAUGAAGAGUGCAAGCUCUGCAAUGCUUUAUCCUGGCCAGCCAAGCAUCCAGGAGGAGUAUAAGUUAUCUGCAUGGCUGAUUAAAUGGAAAUUCUGCAGUCCAGGUGAGGGAUCUCUGAGUGUCCUCAACAAGAAGCACAGUACCCAAUGACCUGUGAUGGCCACGGCUACUGGACCCAUGAUGGAAACGUAAGUUGACAGCAGGGCUUAAAAAAAUAUUCAGCUGUUGUAUAUCUAACAUAUCUAACUUGCAAAGUAUUUCAGUAAUCAAUUUGGUGUAUUAUACUUGUGUAAACACUGACUGUACAAGAAAGUUACUAGG
rnacentral:lncRNA from 1 species